UUUUUUUUUUUUUUUUGUUGUUUAUAGAUUAUUAGCUAAAUAUUAGAUGGUUACUAAUGAAGAAGAGUAAAUACACAGAUUGGAUAUAGGCAUUUUGAUACUGCAAGUCUCUAUGGUUCAGAAGAAGCAAUUGGAAAAGCUAUAAAGAAAGCAAUUGAAAAUGAGACUGUGAAGAGAGAAGAUAUUUUUGUUACUACUAAACUAUGGUGCAAUGAGCACCAUGAUCCACUUUCAGCUCUUAAUGCCUCUUUAAAGUAAGUAACUUUUCAUUUUAUUUUAUUUAUUGCCGCUUUUUUUAGACCUUAAUUAUAAUUUAUAAUUUAUUGGAAGGGUUGAUUAGUUUAAGUGAUUUCACUUCUUUUUAAUAAACAUCUAUUUCGCUUCUAGAUGUUUUGAUUUGUAAUUAUUUACUUUCCAUUAAUGGUUUAAAAAAUAAAUUAAAGUCAAAUUUUGAAAAACAAAAAAAAGAGUAGUCUUUCAACAUUAGUUUUUGUUUUUUCUUACAAUUCAAUGGAGUUUGAUUUCUAAAAUAAAAAAAAAAGUCAAAUGAUCAGGGAGAAGCAAGGGAGAGAAGGAAAAAUUAUAAAAAAAAUAGAAUACUUAACCAAAUAUUUAUCCUUCUAGAAAAAUAAGUAUAAUAAAUUUUGUCUUUAGUAAUUUUUUAAAAUAGUUUGGGAAUGAUUCUAUUAAAAAUAGAAAUAGAAUUAAAUUAUUGAAAGAAAAGAAACGGACAAUGAGGAACGUUCGUCUUCAAAAAACUAGAAAAAUGUUUUAUUCAAGGAAAAAAUAACGAUUUUUUAUUUAGUUAAUUAAUGAUUAAUAGAUUAUAAAAAUACCCCAAAACCCUAUGAAUUUAUUCCAAAAAUACAAUUUUAAAAAAAUGUCAUACCAACUUUAAUUUUUUUUGUAAGAAUUUUUUAAAAAAAUAGAAAAAAGAAUUGAUGAACUAUUUAUACACCAAAAUCAAUAAAAUUUAUUAUACUGUUUUUAUAGUUUUUAUUUAUAAUUGUAUUCAAUAAAAGAUUUCACAAUUUAAAUCCUUUAGUUUUACGAUAAUUUGAAACCCAACCUAAAUCUCUUCGUUAACAAUUAUUUAUUAAAAUUGAAGUAAAUAAUAUACACCAUAUAUAAAUUUGAUAAUUGUUUAAUAAAAAAACAAAUAAUGACUAUUUACUCAAGAGUGGAUAGUGCAUUAGGGUAUAAAGGUACCUAUAAUAGCUAAUAAUCUCAAGGAUAACAAUCAAGUAGUAACCAAAUAAGGUAGCUAAUAAUAUAUACAAACUUUUUUAAAAAAAUUGUAAAUGUAGCCAAGUCUUGUAAAUUCAAUAUAAUUUAUUAGUAGUAAUAGACUAAAAUAUUUACAAUAUGAUCUAUUAAUAAUAAACGUCGACAGAUUUAAUUAUAUUUGUAAUUUUUUAAAAUAUUGUUAUAUAUGUUAGUAUUUUAAAUCUAAUUGUUAUAUUUGUAAUAAUUGUUCUUAUGUGUGGGGUAGACGUUUGGGAUUGGACUACGUGGACAGUUACUUGAUCCACUGGCCAGUGAAACUAAAGCCAUGGGCUUCCUAUAUGGUGCCCAAAGAAGACGAUUUUGAUGAAAUGGAUCUUGAGACCACAUGGAACCAUAUGGAAAAGUGUGUGGAAUUAGGCUUAACUAAGACCAUUGGUGUUAGCAAUUUCUCUUCUAAAAAGCUCUUACAUUUGCUGGAUUUUGCUUCUUUACCUCCUGCCAUUAAUCAGGUACGUUUAUUUGUUUACCUUUUAGUUUAACAAUAUCCAUUUUCGUUCACUACAUAUGUAUUAAUUGAGCUAUGUUUAUGCAUAUUAGGAUAGGCAUACAACUCAUUGACAUAUUAGUCGUUGGUUAUGAGAUCUUAAGUAUAUGUAAUGCUCUUUAACUUGUUCAAUAUGGUUUCUGUGUUUAUAUUGUAGUCACAUGUAAUUAUUGAAUGGUUAAGAUAUUGAUAUUUAUGAAUUAGACACUCUUUUCAUUUGAAGGUCGCAAUUGCAACCUUCUAUAGACUUAUUUACCUUGUUAAGUAUCCUUGUUGUAACACUAUUUUUGAAUUAUGAGAACAAAUUUUUCUUCAACUUUUAAAUUUAAAUAUGGCUAAUAAUCUUCGUAUUGUUUAGAAGAGAAAACAUUGGUAGAUUCAUUGUUACAUUGGCACCCUCAAUACUAAGUAUUAUGUUGUACAAAUUACCAUUCUAACUAUGGAUGAUAUACCUAGGAUAUGGUUUAGAAAAUGCAUGUAUGGCAUGUCCUACCUGAUAUUUACGAUAAGAGUUGAGUAAUUAAUAUAUUACCAGGAUAAAAAAUAAAUUAAAUUGGAAGUAAUAUAAAUAUAAAUAAUAUAUUGCUUACUUUUGUAGGUAGAAAUGCACGUAAUGUGGAGGCAAAGGAAGCUGAGAGAGGUUUGCUCUUCAAGAAAUGUGCAUUUGACUGCAUACUCACCUCUUGGAAGUCCAUGGAAUCCAUAUGGCCUGAAGAAUUUGCUCAAAGAUCCAAUUGUCAAUUCCAUUGCUUCCAAGCACGAAGCAACUCCCGCACAGGUAAAAAACGACUUUAAAAUAGUUUAAAUCAUUUUAAAUUAAAAGAAAAAAUCGGUGAUAGACAUUGAAAAAUUGAUGGUAGACAUUGAUGAACAUGUAUCAAUAUCUAUUAAUUAUUAAGGGACAACAACGUUGAAAAUUAUGUUUAAAAAUGAAAUUAAAUGUUGAAUACAUCUAAGUGGAAAUUAAGAUGUAUUUUGAAGUGAUUUUAAAUAGCAUCAAAGUGGUUUUGGAAUGCUAACCAUGUUUGAAUUUAAUUUGAUUGAAGGUUGCACUAAGCUGGAUAUUAUCAAUGGGAGGAAGUGCAGUAGUGAAGAGUUUCAAUGAAAGUAGAUUAGAGGAAAACAUGGCCUCUUUUGGUCUCAAAUUGGAUGAACAAGAUUUGCAAGAAAUUGACAAGUUGGAAGAAAAGAAGAUGGCUACUGGUGAAUUUCUAAUCAAUGCUACAACAGGCCAAUACAAAAACAUUCAAGAAUUGUGGGAUGGUGAAAUUUGAUUUUGUAUGUGGUUGGUGAAUUAGCUAAUAAAAUUCAAAAAUAAAUUCAUAUGGGUUUAAGCAAUUCAUUAUUCACUGCUCAAUCUAGAGGUUUUAGGUUUGAACACAAUAUGAUUUUUUUUUAUGUCUUUCAAGUUCGAGCAACGAAACAUUUGUGGUUGCCCUCAAGUCUUGGUUCUCUAAUAAAAAUAAAUCAACUUACCAUCGUAUCUUUGAUUAAAGGAGAAAGUGAUAUUUUUUUAAAAAAUAUCUAUAAGUGGUACAACCAGGUUGCAAGAAUAAAUUAUUCAAUAAACUUGGGGCAAUGUUUCACUAUAGAAUUGAUGGGUAAACGUACUUCAAAUUUACAUUUAAUAGUUAUUAAGAGAUGCAAAUAAUAGAAUUCAUACUAAUGUGAGUAUUAAUAAAUAAUUUUUAAUUUUUUUUUCAUUAUAAUAUUAUUAGAAAGUUUAUGGGAUACAAAGAAAUAAAUAGAAAUGGUAAUUAAAUGUGGUAAUUAAAUGUAUGGAAGUAAAGGACAACAACUUUUUGUGCUAAAUUUGGAAGGAAUUUUUUUUUUUGAAAAAUUGGAAUGGAUGAUUAUUUUAGCAAUAAUAAUUAAGAAUAUAACAAUAUUCGAAAAAAAUUUAAAUAUAGCAAAACUAUUACUGAGACUUGUAUCGGAUAUAUCAGUGAUAGACAAAUAUUUACAACAUAGUCUAUUAGUUAUAGACUUAUAUAAUUGAUAGAAUUUGACAAAAUUUGCUAUAUUUGCAAAUUUUUAAAUUGUGCUAUAUACUUAAUUAAUUUGAAUUUAAUUACUAAAUUUGCAACUAUUCCAAAUAUUUUUAAUUAAAAAACCGGGUCCAAUAUUUCAUUAGUUUAAAACAAUAUUUAUGUCACUUGUUUGAAAAACAUCUCUUAUCUCUUAUCUUUUAAAAGCGGCAAUAUUUCAAAACUAUACUUAUACAAAAAUCACAUUGCGUAACGUUUUAAACAAAAAAAAAGAAAAGAAAUAGACAGCUACACUAUUUAAGAUAACCGUCACAUUAUUAUAAGUCCAAAUUUCUUUAAAGUAUUUCUAUUCCAACAGUGGUUUUAAAACACAACAUCAAUGAAAAGAUAGAACUAAAUUUCACACACAAAAUUUGACCAUUAUUUUCACCAUUCUAUCUACCGUAAAAUACAUAAUACAACUAUACCACAAAUUUCAUCAUUGUCGUGUAAAAAUUGAACUUUCCCUCUCUCAAUAUCUACGAAUCUUACACAAUUUCCUUUUGCCAUAGAACAGAAUAAAAACCUGGCUCUCCUAUGCCCUCAAGGAAACCAAAAUAGAAACCACUUCUACAACAUAAAGAAACCAAAGGAAGAGGAGUGGCGUUGAGAUAACUUAUAGCCCAUAAAUGUAUUUAACACUAGCACAAAACAAAGCUACAGAUAAAUUCAAAGAAGAAUCAAAAUUUCAGAUCUAUGAUCCUAGGAACUUGUCUACUCUUGUGUUGGCUGACCUUGAAAGGAACUUCAUGCAAAUCGGUGGCUUGACUCCCACCAAAGCCAAAAUUGAAUUAGGCAACGUCCAUAUCCCAUCUCCACAUAUCAAACCAGAUGCUACGGCGGGACCAAACGCUUCGGCUUUGGUUUUGUUUAACUUCUGCCAUACAAACAAUAUCAGACUUCCAAGGCUCAUAUCAAUAGCAAAAUAUGGGCCUAUAUAGAAUGGUAUGGCCAUUGCCAUAGGUAAAGGAAUGAACCUUGCCCACUUUUUUGGUAUCAAGUCUUUAAUCAAGUUAAUCAAAAUGGAGGUAGCGAAAAAGAUAUAACAAAGGGUAAGGCAGUUCUUUGGUAGACUUGAGGCACCUUCAACACCCAACACAGACAUGUUGCGAAAGAGAACGGCGUUAGGGGCGGGGUAUUCACCGGUUGGAAGACCAAGAUCGUCAAAUGCCUUGUAGAAGAGCCAAAAGACACAAGGGGAAAUAAUGCAACCCAUUGUUGUGCCUACCACUUGGCUGACAAACAUGGAGCGAGGUGAAGCUAAAGUUAGAUAGCCAGUCUUGAAAUCCUGCGUAAGGUCUGAGGCUGUCGAGACAAUGUUCAUCAUGACCCCACAAGCUGAUAGACCAGCAAUAAUUCCCCCACGCGAGGGCCCAGCCCAUGCGCCAAUUGUGAAAAUGGCAAGCUUUCCGUAAGUGGAUGCCAAAGACCAAUCCGUGAGUCCACAUCCAUAUGCAUUACAGAAUGCCAAGACAGGAGCAAAGAUGUAGAUGACCAAGAUAUAAUACCACUUUAGCUGGGGAAAGAUGUGUGGAAGAGUGUUCAUGGACACAACAGCGAUUACAACAUAGCCUCCAACAGCAAACCAGAUUGGUAUUUGAUCCUUGAGAAAUAGUUGUUUCCUUCGUGCAUCAUCAUAAGAUAACUCAGAACUUGAUGAAUUUUCCAUGGAGAAAUCUUCACUCUCUCUUCUACGUUGAAGUUGGUCAAACAAGCCAGAGAGGGUCCGAGUCAGUACUUUGAAGAAGUUGUAUAAGCCAUCACCAAGAAUUAUAGCUAUUGCUAUAAAUACCUAAGGUCAAUGUCAAAAUAAGUUCCCUUUUAAGUGGGAUUUUUUUUUUCUUAAAUUAGUGAGCUUGUUUGAGAUGAAAGAUUACCUUAUAACCUUCAAGUCCACUUAGGUCAUCUGACCUCAAUUUCUCACUAUACCAUUGACCUCUUUUUUCUUCUAUGAGAGGCCACAUUAUGCCCCAAGAGAUAAUUCCUCCAACAAGCACCGAUACAUUUAUUAUGUGAGGGCAAAUCAUCCCUACUCCAAUAUAUGUUGCUGAGAAGUCAAAGUAAAACCUACAUAAUUAACCAGAAGAUCAUAGUGAACCCACAUGUGACAAUGUCUUGAAAUUGAAACGAAAUGUUUUAUUCUUGAAAACUCCAACUCUUCGUGAUUUGACAUAGAAGGUAUAUAAAAAGAAUACAGCAAAUCAAGUUCCAUGAAUCAGUUGAAGAAUAAGACGAAAAAUCAAAGUGAAGUAGUUAGAUAUAUACUUGUUUGCAUAUGCUUUGAGCCCAAAUGUUGGGAAAUGUGCAAAUCCACAACCAUCUGCUGAUGUAAAGAACCAUUGAAAAAAGCCCCACAAGAAGCUCACAGAGAAAAACCUGCCAAGCAAUCUCACCUGUUUCCUAUAAUAUUAGACAAAAGAAAGUAUAUAUUAGAAGGGCUGCUUUCAUUUGGAUAUCAUUAUAAUUUAUUAUACAUAACAACACAUUACUUUGCUAGUGCAGCUCCUCGGGGAGUGUGGAAACUAUUAAUCAAAUGAGCAGUAGCAGUACCACUUGGGUAAGUUAAUUUGAAGUCUAUGACCAUGAUCUGCAAUUAAUCCCGAGUCAAAGUGAUCAAAGAUUCAAAAUAAUAAUGAAUAUUAUCAAGUCAACAUGUACAGAAACUUCAACUUAUGAAAUGGAGCAUAAAUUUCUGUUCUUUUCCUAGAUUUUGAGUAGGAUAAAUGUGGGGCAUGGGAGUUUGAAUCUGUGACUCUAUAGAAAGAGCACUCAUAGAAGCCCUAAAUAAAGAUAUUUGUGAAUCUUGUGUGAUAUAAUUGUCUCUGAAAGCUCCUUCACCAUGCAUUACGUGGCAGUUGUUUGUAUAUCAAUUUAUUCACAUUAAUAUAUGUUGCAUUAAAGUUUUCAUAGCCUAUUUUGGGAUAAAACCAACUCUGAAGCUUUAGAUGUAAUAAACUGAAAAUAUUUGCUACUAGCAACAUGACAGCAUACCUUUCGCAAGGGUACAACUGAGAAGAGACCAAGAAAGCUAACAACAAAUAAAAAACCAAUCAUCCAUCCUAAUGAUGGAUCUUUGAAAUCUCUGCUGCCUGAUGCUUUAUGAGCAAUCCGUUCACUCAUUCCAAAUAAGUAAGUUCCAAAACCUCCUGUCAAUAGAAAUAAUCCAAAACAAGAAAUUCAAUUUAGCCCAACAGAAACCAGGAAUUAGUUAAAGAUUUGUCCAUGGACUUCUAUAAUUUCCAAUGAUAUGGAAUAAUAGUCUUCUGAGAUUCUCCCACACCAGAAACAGUACUCGGUAUUAAAGAGAAGUUCACUUCUUGAAAGCUUAGUACACAAAUAGCCUUAGAUCAAAGUAGUAAUGAAGAACUUUCACAGACUUCUGGGCAAAUGAGUAAAGUUUUUCUUCAAUUGAAAAAUGGAUGUCAGAAUCCUCCUAUCAUGGUGAUGGACCGGUCAAGGAAAAACAACAGUCAAGUAGCUGAGCUACCAAGGUAUGGUCAAAUGGACCAUCUUGGUCCAUAACUUUAAUAAUAUGAAUUGUAUAAGACGACUUUCUGCUAAUAACUUUUUCAAAGGAGAUACAACCAUAUUUAUAUUGGAACGAAAGUUUUCUAAUUGUUUGUGUAUGCAAGUUGCAGCUACAGAGCUACUUCCAUUAGAAGAAACAAAUAACAAAAGCACGGCCACACGCACAAAAAUAAACAGAUAUGUAAAGUUAAUUACAAGCAACAAGCAACCAUUCAUCCAAAAAAAGAUCAGAGCAAUCACGAUGAUGGCACAGAACUGUUCACAGAAGUUCACAAAAAUCAGCGCCAAGAACACACAACAAAACAACAAAUCGACGAGCUGAAAGAGAAAACGAUAACGAAAACUUGAAAUCGAACUUAUACUUCAGUACAAAUUAAGUAUGAGCAAGAAUCUACAACCAGCUAAAGAAAAUGAUUAAGGAACAAACCGCUGAACGCGAUGCCAGACGAGGCAACAACACAGGUUUGGAUGACGGUGUUCUCCUGCCUGGUGAAAGGCUGCUUCAAUAAACCUGAUCUCUCCAAAAAUUUCGUCCAGGACUUGACAAAGAAGAAACCUAAUAGACCAGCCGAAACGUUGAGUGAAGGUAUAAUACCGGUGGUGAGAUUGAGCUUCAUUACAAUGAAGCUGAACAAAAUGCUCAGCCAAAAACUAACAAAAAAAGCCCUAAACGUCAGCUGUUUCCUCCAUGAAGGAACUUCUUGGUCUUCAAAGAACUCCUCAAUCGAUAAUACUCCACUUCUACUCCCAAAUCUCUGCCUGUUCUUCUGAUUUGGAUCGCGUUCAGAAUCCAAACGCUUCACAACACGAUUAUCAACACCUUCCUCCUCCAUAAUGUAUUGAUAAACGAGGAUUAAGAGGUUAGAAUCAGAAAUGGAAAGUGAUAUUUGUGAUGAAUUGAAGCAAAGAAGUGGAAUUCAUAGAAACCGCAUAAAGAUUGAGGAUGUUGCUAUCAAUUGAUGCGUGGAUGAGAACUUGUUGAAGAGAAGACAAAAGAAUAGCCAAAAUUAGUCUCCGAUUGACUUCGAAGUCGGCGAUUUCGAGAGGAGCCAUGAGGUCCGACAGCGAUAGGAGUUGCCAAUGCCAACUUGGCCAAAGGGAAAUUUCCUCACUUUCACCAUUCUUACUGACUUCCACCUCCCCCUUCUUGUUUCUUCCUAAACUUUAUCAUAUCAUUCAAUGCACUAAUUAAUUUAAUCUUAACACUAGUUAUACAUUAAAAGAAACUUUCCUAUUUUCAAAUACAUAUUUUCGCAAUAAAUAUAAGUAACUACUCAGUACAUGGUAAUAUAUCAUGAUUUUUGUUAAACUUAGAAAAAGUGUUGAAUUAGUUUAAGCUAAGUUGAAAUUCAAGAUCUUACCUUUUCAACUUUUAUACGGGAGAAGAUCUAAUAGAUUUAGUUUUUUAAAAUGUAAUUGCAAUGAAAAUGAUAUUUUUACAUUUGAUCAACUCUAUUAUCGUUAGACUUCGACAAUUUUAUCUAAAUUUUAUUGCAUGCCUAAGUAGUUAACUAGAGGGAUGACUCAAAUGUUUUCUUUGAUUGAAUGGGCGAUUCAUUAAUUCAAAUUUAAGAGCUAAAAAUAUCAAUCAUUAUCGUUAUAAGAUCAACAAGAAUCAUAAAAGCCGACUCCUAGUGUUGGUUAUAGAAGUAAAGAAAGCCACAUAGAUGUCGACUUUGUAGACUUCAUGAUGGAUGAUUGAUAGAGUCGACCAUAAGAGAAAAAUAAUCCCGAACUAUAGAGGUCAACUCAUAGGGAUGACAUUUGGGUGAUAUUCAUAGAGCUUGGGGAAACCAACUCUAUGGUGAUAAAGAUUAUGUCAAAGUGUUAAACAUUUUAGAUAUGUAUAUGCCUAAUAGUGAAAAGAAUCUCACAAUUCAUAAUAAUUAAUAAUAGUUUGAUUAUAGAUCCGAGAAGUUAAAUAGUGAAUGAUUAUUAUAUAAAGAUUUCCUAUAUAACUACGAAGGGUUGAGACAUUUGAGUUACUUUGAAAAUGCUCUAAGUUCUCUAAUCUCUAACUUUCUUCAAAUUAUUAAUGACUCAAUCGUUAAAGUGUCGAUGAUCUCAAUAAAAUAGUUUUCUUUUUUGGUAUUGUGCAAGGAAAUUAUUUGAUUCCUAAUAAUAUUUUAUAUUUUAUGAUAUUAGUAAUUUGUCAAAGGGUGGUUGAGAAGUAAGCUUUCAUUUAUGUGUGAGUUUUAUUUUUUAUUUUAGAACAAUUUGUAUUAUUAUUUUGUUUGCUUUUAAAAACGAAGAUUAGGUGAAGAUAUUUGGUUAUAUAUUUUUAAAUUAAUUUCACAAAAACAAGUAAGAGUUUGAGAGUGUUAGAUGUCCUUCAAAUUUAUCUUUUCAUAAUUCAAUAUAAUAUGUUAUCUAAAUUUUAUAAAUUAUCACUAAUAAUACCUUUUAAAGGAAAAAAAAAAUUAAUUUUGUAUAUAUUAAAAGUAGGAACUUUCCCACUAUAAUUUUGAUAUAGUAUUUGCAUGAAAAUUUCCAUCCCACAAAGUGUAAAGAAAAAUAUUAACCAUUUUUUUGGUUUAGCAAAUUACUAACUAAUUCACAAAUUGUUCCUUAAUCCGUCAAAGUUAAACAUCAUAGUUUAGGUAAAAAGGAACAAAAUUUUUUGUUGUAACAUGGUCUAGCAUUUAAUAUCCUAUAAGUUUUACGCCAAAUAUAGUAAACUCGAAUACAUAAUUGCUUGUAAUUAAUUAAGGUACAAAUGUGCUGACUCAAACAACUCAUGGAUACAAAAACAAUUAUUAGAUAAUACACGUGUUAACUCAACUAAUUACGUGAUUGUAAAAAGAAAAUUAAAAAAAAAUCCAAGAGAAUAAGACAUAGAAUAAUUUAAAAAAAAAUGAAAGGUGGAAGCUUUUUGAGACAUAUUAUUAAUUAAACAGUCAAGAGAACGGGUAAAGUAAGCUUAGUAUUGACAUGCGCUCCACUUUGAAGUGGGAGGUUGCUUGAUUGCGCGUCACAUUUAUAGUUGGUUUCUAAAGAAAAAAUGACAUGUGGAUCAAUAAUUGGCAAUGGUUGAGUGUUGGCAAUAAUUAAAUAUAGUCUGCUGAAAAAUGGGAAGCCACGGGCAAAUGAGGAAUCCCAUAUUGCUGUCAUCCAAUGGAUCUUCUUCGCAUCGUGAUGUAACCAACCACGCUGUCAAUGUUCUAGGAGACAUCCCAUCAACUUUUCUAUUGAAUUCCACGUGGACGAAAACAACUGAUUUUGGAUUUUAUACAUAAAAUCAAAUCAAAUUUUAACAUAAUAAUCCAAUCAAAUAGGUGUAUUGAUUGCUUAAUUUGGAAUUAAACUAUACUAAAUUCAAUAUUCAAGUCCAACAAUUGAAACAAAUUUCAAAGAAGAAAGUUCAAAUUUUUGUGAAUGUGAGGAUUGGUUUAUUUGCUCUACUAUUGUUGAACUGAAAAAAAAAAUACUUUUUUUUAACCUAUGAUGUAUCCGAUGACAUAAACAAUGAAUUUAAAAUUCAACUAUAUUUAUUAACCAGCAUUAAAUAGAAAUUUAAAAUAAAUGUAAACAAAGUAGUCGGCUAAUUUUAGUAUAGAUGGUAUGGCAGUUGAUUAAUUUUAGAACCAAACAUUGAAUGUAAAAUAAAUUAUUGGAAUAAUGUAUAUAGUAGAAUCAUAAAAAAGAAAAAGAAAAGGUUAAAAGUCAAUGGCUUCAUCAUGGAAAUAUCCAUAACAUUAAACUUCAAAUGGAUUCCUCAUAUUUCUCUGUUCACGUACGCUUUGCUUUGUCAGCAACUAAAUAUCUUUCUUGUGUUAUCAACAGAAGCAAUUUUGAAACUAAAUAUGAAAAAGCAAAUGCUUACAAUCUCUAAAAAUCAGGAGACAUUCAUUAUUACACGAGAAGUAAUUUGUGUACAAAUCAAUAUAUACAAAUGAAAGUUUCACUGCCUGAAAGAGUAGGCAUAGAAAGAUGGAAAAGGAACAAAAAAAGAAAAAACCAAAUGUAAAUACAUUACAGACUAAGAUCAGCUCCUCUUAGAUCCUACUGGAGAUUAGGGUCCUAACCUAAACAAAAUUCUCAAAAGUAUUAACAAAAAGGAAAGAAUUUCCUUGAUAAGUUCUAAGCAUGAAACCUCUGGUUACGUAACUAGAAUCGCCGCGAGAGGAAGAACUCGUAAUCUGGAUGCGUGUUUCCAGAAUUCAGAUUUCCUUUCUUAACAACAGCUCUGGCCAUGAGAGAUGCAGUCUCUUCCAGGGUCCUCAGGCGCUCCUGGAGGAUUCUAGGAGGAUUUAAGUUGGAGGUAAACGUGGACGUACGCGUACUGUCUCUAGGUUCAAACCAGCAUUCAUUCUGUUCAUGUAAUGUCACAAAGAGAACGUUUAUGAAAGAUACAUAUCAACCCUUAUGCAAUGCAACAAUUUUAGACACUUCGUUUAGGAUGUACAGGAAGCAAUAAUAGCAAUUUAUCGAUGUAAAACAAAAAUCACACUUGUGGUUUACACGUUGAAAACUUAAUAGAUUGACAAAUACGCUGAAUCUAAGGAGGUUUUCUUCAUCCCCUUUCACUUGAAGAUUUGAGGAGGGAGAAAAUCAAUGGUUUGUCUAGACAUCUUGUGAUCAACCCCUUGCCAUUAGUCAUGUCAGGAAACCUAAGGUAGUCUAAUAAAAUGUCAAGGAUCAGUGGAUCACUAUCAGUAUAGCUUUUCCUUUCAGGUAUUAUAGGGAAGAAAAAAAGUACUUGAGUGCAUCUAAGGUUGUAGCCACCUGUGUACAUCCUACCCACGUGUCCAAUCACAAGUUGUCACACGAUAAUUGAUUUUCUUUUUUCUCUUUGUAAUUAAAGGGGUUGCAUGAAGAUGAGUGUAGCCUAGGUUACACUCAAGUACUGCUCAUAAGGAAUUAUGAUAGGGAGAAGCCCUAAUCCAACAAUUCAUUAAGUUGAAUGGCAAAACCCUGGGCAUUUCCAUCUAUACGUAAUCAGCCCAAGAAUAAGGUACUGACCGAUUAACACAAUUUAUAAAGAGAGAAAAGGCAGAUACAAUCUUCAUACGUGUUGUUUUUUUGUUUCCUUUACUAGUAUCUAAACAAAAUGCACAGCCAUUGAAAACGUUAAAGCCUAUUGGAAAUGGAAUUAAAAAAACUUUACCUGUGCAUUAUAACUUUGAAGACCCACGACUGGACAGACUAAGCAAGAAUUUGUAUCUUGGGAAGUUCUAGAAACAAAAUGUCCUAGCGAAUGGUAAGUCAAAAAUGCAGCUCGAAGGUUUCCAUCCGGUAUCCUAUAAAUGGGAUACCAUGCCACUGAGUACCUGAAAUGCCAAAAACAAUUAAAUCACUUUUUUCACUUUAGAGGUGCUGUCCAAAUGACAUACAUAAGUCAGAAUUUGGUCAUAUAUGAUUUAGUUCUAGUAGACUAUGGAACUAAUGCAAACUGUUGCAAAUAUUUGUCACACCAACCAUGAUCCAGCAUGCAGAUCAUCCAAAGUAAUGGAAUUGAGUACGGUCGGAUCACCAUAUAUUUUUCCUUGCAAGCCAUCUCCCUCGACUAGCUGAUGUAUCCUGAUUAAACAAUAGAACUGAGAUCAAUUUCAAAGCAGUUUUCAAUUAGCAAUAAAAAAAAAAGUGUAAAGCCUUGUCGAAGCUUUCUAAGAUAACCAACAUAUCAAGCAAUUUGCUGAUCCUUGUAUUAAGUAACUAGAAUGCAGAAUUUGAAAUGCAAGCAUUCCCUAAAACCAGCAUAAUAUCAAAAAACUAUUGAUUGAGGAGAAUGAGAUCGAAGGCAAUCACAGGAUCAUGAAUAAAUACAUAAAUAGCUGCCAGUGCCCAUCGAAGUUCAUAAUGACUGGAAAAUGUUUUCCUAAUAAAUUUCACUAGAGUCUGAUCGAUUGUUAAAUUGUGAAGAUUUUGUGCUGAAAUGUUUGUGGUGUUAAGUAGAAAGGGGCAUUGUCAACCAUAUUUUUCCUUCAAGAGUCAAAUUCUGUGGGGUUGACAAGAAGAUUAUAUAUAUACUUUCAGUGUUUUAGAGAAAAUGGAAUCUCCAGGGCCUCUUGAGCAUUAAGCAGCAAGAGAUGGAAUGCAACAUUUACACAUUGGCCUUCUCAUAGAACACCAAUAUAGUGUCUAUACUUUAUUGAUAUCUCCAACAGAGAUUACAAUAUAAAAGAACAAACAAGUAAAAAGAAACUCAAGAACACUUAAAGGAACCCUAACCCUCUACCCUUCCUUUCUUUCAAGGAAUGUUGCAGUCCGUUACCUUCACCAAAAUCUUCAUGCCUUUCUUCCCUCUCCAACUUCCUAUUUAUAACCAACUAACUGCCAACAAAUCUAAUUACCCUUAUACCCCUGCCCUAUACUAAUCUAGGUAUCUAACAGCUUCAUCUUCUCUAGGCCAGCCUAUUGAAGGACAUGUAAUUAAGGUUGAUUUCUGGAAUCCAGUAGUAUAAAAGAGUAUGGGGGAAAGUAAUGAAAGAACACAAUUUUUUCCCUUCAAGACGAGGUCACCCUACUCUUUCUCAUUCUGGGCUAUCCAACAUCCUUACUAUUUUCUUCCUUUAAAAUUCAUAAUAUGGCUAACUAAUGGAGAGAGAUGUUAGCGUGUUCAUUUAGUUGAUUAUAAGGGUAGAUGGAGAAGUUAUAGUUGUGGUUAUUAUAUCAAGUGAAACUAAUGCCAGAAGAACACUUACGAAGCACAAAGGACUCAGUGAAGCCAAAGGGAUUUGUUUUUAACAAGAAAAUUUAGAGAAGGGAAUGAGGAAAAUUUCUUCUAGGGAAGACUGCUAUCUAGGCAACACUAAUAAGAGAUGAAUAAACCACUGCUGGAACAAGGCUGAGGCAGGGUGAAACCUCCAAUUUAGACUAUACUAGACAGAGCAAAAUUUAAUAAGAGAAAAUAAGCUCAUAGCUAGAAAUUUUGGAGACUUGUUAGCUAAGUGGCUAAGUCGUUGAGGUAAUUCUGUGUUAAGAAGAUUGGAUAAUUUAGGUAAAUCUAGUUAAUUCAGUACUACUUAGUACUUUGGCCAAAUUCUAAAGCGGUUGUUGUGUCAAAUCAUCAAACCCAACUAUCAUGACAAGAAAAUUUCCAAGAACAAAAUUUUCCAUUAAAGUUUCCACUCCAAUGCUUAAACCUAGAACCUGAGCUAUAAGCCCAUGCAAACUCCCAACCCCUACCAAAUGAUUCCUCAGGGGCUGUCAUUUAUUAAUCUUUUCCAAAUAAAGUUCAAAAGUUGGGUUUGAUUUAGCAUUUGCCGGAUGAUACGUCUGCUGGAUUGCCACAACUACUUUGUGAUCAUACAUUGCAAGGGAAAGCAAGGAUUUCCUUGUCUUGUGCAAUAAAUGGUACUCUUUAAAAGAUUUUCUACGAAAGACAUUAAAUAUAAUUUGUUAUAUUAGUAUCCUAUACCAGCUCCACAGACACACAUAGGAAAAGAAAUAGGAAAAAAAUUUGGAUAUCAUCUCUCCCAUUUGUAACUCUAUGGCAAAGUUUGUCUGAUGAAAAAUAAUAACUACAGUAAUAAUAAGUUAAGGUUUGAUUAGAAAAGAUUUGAGUUAAAAAAUAUAUAACUAACAAAUCACACUAGUAAUUUCCAAAAAAGAGUAGGAGCAAUUACUUAUCAAAUAAUGGCCUUCUCAGUUGAGGUUGUUCCCCUUCAAAAUAUUCAAAAAUAAGUUCUGAUUCUCCAGAUAAUUGUAGGCUCGCCGAUUGUUCUGAAGACUUCUUCUUCUCAGACGCUAAAUGUUGCUCUGAACUAUGAAACUGAUUACAAACCCGCAGAACGCUUGUAUCAUCAGUACAGGGCUUGGGAAAAAGGAGUGAAAAUAUUGGAAGAUGACAAGUAGAGGGCUCCUUCACUUUUAUAUCGCUUACACAUGAAUUAAAUCCCAAAGGACCAGUAGCUGUUCCCACAUGAGUUUUACGGCUCUUAAAUAGUUGAACAGCUGAAAGAAAUGGGACAAAAUAUGCACGGAAUGCAGAGUUAACAGCACCAAAUCCAUUUGAAUUUUCCUGACCCUUGGCUUUUAUUUCUAAGCCAUAGCUGCCAUGUUUUUCAUACCAUUGCCACAGGCAACCCAAAGAAAUGUUGGUAGUCUCGUUGCUACAUGGUAUCACAUCACCAGGCAGAUUUCUUGGGCAAAUGUCACUGCUUGAAUUGGGUCUCUGGUCGAUAACAGGGGAGGAUAAAUGAAGGAAUCUUUCGAACUCUGCAAUUGGACAACCAGUUUCCAUUUGAAUAGCUUCAGAUGCCAAUUGCGCCCUACAUGCAUUAUUCACUGCUUGUUCCAUUCUAGACACAUCUUCACAUGAGGAUUUGCAAUUAAAAUGUUCAUCCACAUCGAACUCAGACUUAUGAUCCUGUAGUGUGGUUGUAUCAUAGCCAUACAUCUUCUGCACCCCACAUUCAUGUUCUAAAGGACCAUCAUCCCUAUCUCUAUAAUGCUGGAUCCCCUCAAUUACAUCAGAAACAGGAUUUAGUACGUUGCAAUUGACUCUUUCUUUAAUUGAUUUUUCCAAAGUGCCAAACUCAGCAGGCUGCGUAUUUGCAUCUCUCAGAGAUGAAAAAUCAGGUCUGGCCAAGGUGAUCGAUCUGGAACCUUCUGCUCCACUUGGCAACCAGUUCUGAAGAGGUGAUCUAGAUUGGGUGUCAUGCUUGCUGCGUUCAUCCAGGGAACUUCCUUUUGUUGCUUGAAAGAAAAGAUGAGGAAGGUAAACGGAAGACUUAACCUCUACUGGAUUUGACUGAUUUAAGGAGUUGCAUGACUUUGGCAAUGAGCUAGAGUCGUUCCCUACUUUUUGAAAAAAAAGAUGAGGAAGGUAAACAGGAGACUUAACCUCUACUGGAUUUGACUGAUUUGAGGAGUUGCAUGACUUUGGCAAUGAGCUAGAGUCAUUCUCUACUUUUUGACUGCUCAAACCAUCGUUGAUAAGUUUGUUUGAGAUCAAUUCAUCUAGAUGGACUUGUUUACUUUCAACUGAUUCAGAAUUUGUGCAUUUAUCAGUAGAAUCAUUUUGAAAACAAGAUCUUGGAUCGCCACUUGAUCUUCUUAUGUCAAAACCCAUAGAUCGAACAUCCAACUUUUCAUUUGGUGGUUUGUGAACCAUUGAACUUGUAUUACUACCACAACUAUUCCUUGUAGGACGAUAUAUCUUCUCUUGUCCUGAAGUAUUUUUUCUUUUCAACCUCCUGGGACAUUUUUCUUUCAGCUGUUUUUUGUUCCCCGUUUUUUUAUCCUUGACCUUUGGCAUUUGUACACCAACAACAGGAUUACAAAUGCCUUUAAACUGUUUGCUGAUAGGACUAACUUGGUCUAACUGUUCAGAACAUCCACCACUACUGCUUCUUUGAACCUUUUGCCAGACAGUAUGUCUGUUUUCCUUUCCCGUACGUCUUUGUGAACUCCCCAAACCACCAUAUCUAUUCAUCCUUGAACUCCCGGUCAAUUUUUUAUUUUGCUUAGUUUUCUUUCCAGGUAAAACUGAACAAGUUUCACUAACAGUACAUCCCCGAAUACCAAGAUUAGCUUUCUCCACUUCAGCAUUCAGAUCUACCUCAUCUCUUGCUGAGUUCUGAGAAGGAGAACUUCGUUCUUCCAACAGAUCAACUCCAAAACCUUGCUUUUCAUUUAAUUUUAAGUUCAGAUCAUCACAGUUACCGUUUAAACUAACCCACUUAGAAUCACGGGAAAUAUUAUCCAAAUAAUCCUUAGAGCAAAAAUCAUUGCAGCUGCCAGCAAUAAACCUCUCUCUUGAAUUUAGCCCCACAUCGACAUGGAUACAACCAGGCACGUUGAUUAGGGCCUGGUUUUCAGAUCCACAAACUUUAUAAUACCCACUGAAAUUCUUUAUUGCCAAAGAUGAAACCUUAGAUGAAUGUCCGUCAACAAUUUCAGAUGAUACUGAAUCCACAGUUCCAAGUGGCUGAAUCACAGAAUCUUGUUCAAAAUCUGGCAGAAAAGUUUCUUGUGCAAUCGAGCAUAAAACAGAUCUAUCUCUAAAAUCUGAAUCAUUACUGCCACAUGCUUCUGACAAAAAACUUGCACGGGCAGAAUCCUGGAGUGAUACUUCUGUUUCAGCAGAGACAAAAUCAGAAGAUAUAUUCUUACAUUCUAUUUCUUUCUUUUUUGCCUUCUUUCUUGGAUUUUUCUUCCCAUAUCUCUGCAUUUUAGCUCCAUCAACGGGAAUGUCAGAGAUUGCAAUAGAGUCACUUGACAUCAAAGCAGAGCCGGAGCAUGAACUUGUACAAGGGAACUUGCCAGAGGAUUGUUUUGGUGACUUAAUUGCUUUACUAUCCAGUAACUUUUUAUUGGACUCCAGCAGGCUUCUACAUCUGAGUGAAUUAAAUGAAUAUGUACCAUUGGAAGCAGGGCCUUUCUGCACCAAUUUUCUCCCAGCUGUAAACUGAUUCAUUUGAGGCAGGCAGCUCAGAUUCAAGCUAUCUAAGUAUUGUGGUGGUAGUGCAACAAUUCUCCAGAGUCCAUCAGAUUCGAGUGUAAGACAACUAAUGAUGGCACGUCUGGAAAAAGGAAACCAGGUAAAGAAAUAAUAAUCAAUAAUUUCUUCUCGUUGAAAUAAAGAGACAGAAAAAAGUCAUAGCUCAACAAUUGUAUGACUAAAACAUUACCUGUAAUCAAAAAAAUUUCUCCAUGCAAAAGAAGACACUUUAGAAUCCUGAAAGAAAUGAAGGAUGACGUUUAAAUAUAAAAUAUGCAAUCACAAUUUUAUGCAAACAAAACCAAAAUCAAAUAGAAUAAUUUUUUCUUAAAUUACGUACCGUACUUAUUCCCCUGGAACAACUGUUUUUCUCGAGUCUCAAUUCUAAUGACUCCUUUCCUUUGUCUAAAACUUUCUGAAAAUCACUACUUACAAGAGUACACUGCAUUGUUUUCUGUCAUAGUCAUCAACACGGUUCAAAAGAUAAGAAUUCUAGUGGAAUAUUUCCAAGGGCAACCAGUAAGGUUGUUAACAAAGUGCGGUUCAAAAAGGACUCCAGAAAAGGAAUAAUGGAAUAUGUAUUGAGAGUCUGAAAUAAUAAACUGAUUUUUAUUUUGACAUCACGGCACAUAAGUAUAGCACACCCACAAACAGAUAUGAAGAAAAAGAAAGAAAAACCUGAAGAAAUAUUUUCUUAAAUGUUCGUCAAAGUUUUCAUAUUGUAAUUUAAAGACAAUGCUUUGACAUGAUGACAAUCAUUAGAUCCGAACAAUACUAAUAAAUGUAAUAUCCGAAAAUCAUUAAAAUAUGAGAAUGAAAAUAUAAUUUGGGAUGGUGCCAAAAGAAAAAGAAGAUAGAAAGAGUGGCUUAAAAAAAUGACAACUUCCUUAUUGAGUAAAAGUAGAUUAAAAGAAAUUGAGAUAACAAGAAUCUUUGUUAAAUAAUAGUUCACAAUAUCUAAUCCAAUUGAACUUGGGUGUCAUCUUUUGACUACAACCAUAAUAUCCACUAUUUUGAAUAAUUUUGCUCAUGACUUGCCUCAACAAUUCUUGGGGAGGCUUUGCCCACCCAAAGUUAGCUUCCAACAAAAUUAAACCCAUGAAGUUGAUCAUGAUACCAUGAAAUUAGAACCUUAAUUAAUACAAUUCUUAUGUAACUACCAAAUACAGAAAGGCAGAUUCUAGCAAAACAAACAGCGCUAAUGUAGAAAAAUCAGAAAGCUCAGACUUCUUGAACGAAGAAACAAACAGAGUUUUGAUAAAGAGAAUAUUAAAGCCAUUUUUCUCCAGGAGAAUGUUGUUUAUUAAAACAAACGAAUAGCCAGAAACCCAAAGAAUAGACAUAAGGUACAUGCAUUAAGGGAGAAAACCCAGAUAGAAAAAACAACCUUUUCCUGAAAUGUUUUUCCCCAAUCAAUACAACAAAAAGCUGUAGCACACAAAACUUACCGAUCAAAAGAAACUCGUUCAACAACCAAAACUUCAAUGAAACAUUAUGAAAACAAGAUGAAGAAAAAGAAGAACAUAUACACGGUACGGCUCCAUUGAAAUUAAUCACCCAAUUAGAACCAUUGAGGAAGGCUAGUACUAAAUUUGACUAGACCCACAAAUAUCAAAGAGAAAUUGAAAACUCUCAAUUUAAGAACUAUACCAAUUUAGACACAAUCUUCACCCAAAUAUAGCCACAGGAUUCAGAUUACAGGGUAACAUACAAAAUCUACAACAAUCAACUAUUUGCCAAAAUUAGAAACGUUUCCUACCCUGUCAUCUCUAAUUCAAAAUAGAGAAACAAAGUAGACAGAUUAAGAUAGAAUAGAUUAUAUAUCGACUCUUUUAGGAAAAAAAGCAUACAAUGAUUUCUAGUUACUUUUCUAUAAAAGGAGCGCGAAAAUUGGAUAGUCAAGCCAUUUCACUACACACAAAUCAGAGAAAGUCAGUGAGUGAUCGAUUAGCUAAGAGAAGUAGAAGGAAACUGACCCAUUUCCAUUGGCGGGAGAGAAUCGAAGGAAUUACAAGGAGAAAAGCUUGUUCUUCAAGUGGACAAUAGCGUUUAUCUUUUUCUCUCUAUCGGAAUUUUGCUAGUGGCUUGCUUGAAAGGACCUGCGGCUGAUAUAAGCAAGUAUUUUUUGGUUUGUAUCUGACGAUUACGCUUUUCUUCAUUUUAUGACGGUCACUCUCUAUUAAGUAAAUACUUCGUAUUGUAUUUUAAAUUGGAAAACAUUCAAAAUUAUUUAUAAAUGUGAUAAAAUAGCCAAAUGCAAUAGAUAAUAAAAUAACUUGAUAGAUUAGUACAUGUGUUGAUAGAUUAUUACAUACCAUCUACUCUAUUAUAUUUUGUAAAUAUUUUGAUUUAUUUUAAGAAGAUCGUCAAAAUAGUGAAUUUGAUAAAAUACUUACAAGCUAUAUCAAAAUUUCAUAUUGUAUCAAUAACAAAUAUUUGAUAGAUAUCGAUAUUCUUUUAUUAAUGACAUUAAUAAAUCGUGAUAGAAGUCUGACAGUUUCUAUCGGUGAUAUAAUCAAAAAAUUUGCAGUUGUAAAUAUUUUAAUUUAUUUUGCUAUUUAAAAAAAAUGUCCAUUCAUUUUAGUAUAUUUGAAAAUAAUCCUUUUAUAUUGGUAUUUAUUCUUUUGGAAUUAAAUCUAAUAAGUUCCAAAAUAUUACAUUUUUUUAAAGUUUGAAACAUGAUAUUUUUUCUUGUUUUUCUUUUUUUUAAUUGAUAUAAUUUUACCAAUUUAAGCUUGGUUUCAAAUUCAUUCAUAGAUUUCAACAUUUACAUCUUAAUUCCAUUUUUUUUAUUAAAUGCUCAUAUUUUGUCUUUGACCAUAUUGAUCGAUUUCAGAUAAUUGUGAAAUUAUAUUUUAAAAACCAAAAAUAGAUAUUUCGUAAAAAAUUAAAAUAAUCUUAAAAUAUUUUAAAAACCAAAAAUAGAUAUUUCGUAAAAAAUUAAAAUAAUCUUAAAACAUAUGGACCAAAUUGAUUCAGAAGUCAAAUUUCAUUAGAAUAAUUGUAACAUUUUAAAAUUUGAGGACUAAAUUGACAUAAAAACAAGAUGGUCGUACAAGCAUUGACUCAUCAAGUGAUAGUCACUCUAAAACUCUCGAUACACAAAAUAUAAGGACCAGCCCAUGUUGAUAGAGCUCGAGAAAGUGUUGUACUUCAGUAAAAUAAAUUUGACAAUUCACAAUGAUUAGUAAUGACUUUUAAUUACUGAAGAAGUUAAUUAGCAAAUAAUUGUUAUGAAGCUUAUUUCUAUACAAUCAUGGAGACUCACAAAAUUCGAGGUAAGUUGGUGAUGGCCAAACACUAAAUUGAUGUAAGUUUCUUUAUUUUACAAGACUUUGUUUGAUUCUCUUCCAAAAAUUACAAAUUCAAAGUUAGUACCAAAAUUCUAUAUCAAAACACUAAUUUUAAAUUAUAAUAAAAUUAUGCCUACUUCAAAAUUGUAACAUAUGUUUAAUAAAAUUCCAUAAAUUUUAGAUAUUGAUACAAUAUUGAAAUUUGAUUUUUAAGUAUUAACUUGCCUUCUCGUUUCCUCCUCAAAAAAAAGUAUUAACUUGCUUUCAUGGCAAGGAGAAAUUUCUAGCAAACAAACUCGAGCUCAUGCUUUUUGUUUACUAUUUUGUUGAAGGGUGUGGAAAUGAUGAUUUUGACAAGAACGAUAGCUUCAAUUGCUAAGAAAGUCAUGACGUCUCAAAAUAAUUCACUAUUAAAAAAGAACUAUUCAAUUUAUGAUAUAUAUAUAUAUAUAUAUAUAUAUAUACAUACUAAAUCUAUGUUUAUUAUUAUUUGGAGUCUAAAGUUAUAUUGGAAUUAAAGGAAAAAAGAAGAAAAAAAAAUUGAUUGCACUAGAUUGAACCCAUAUUAAAGAGUUCUAAAGAUUUAAAGAAAGAAAUGUUUAAAAUUAAACAAUCAUGAAUAUAUCAUAGAAAUUUUCAAUUAAAAAUCUAAAGACAUCCUUAUUCAUUUAGGAGGUGAUCAAACUCAAACAAAGUUAAAUAAUUUAUUUUUUGUUUGUAUGUUUUUCACUAUGAAAAAGAAAUUUAAUAAGAAAAGAGAAACCUCAUCUGCACUAUGCUAAGAGAGGGAGGGAUUGCAGAUAGAACAGGAACAAAUAAACUGAUUUUCUGUAUCUGCUUAUCAUUUUUCAUGGCAAAAUCCACAGGCCCAGAGAAAACAAGUACAAGAUCAGUUGGAAUACGAAUCAAAUGCUGAUAUGGAAAUGCAAAACUGAACCAUCCAGUCUAUCAAGAGAUAAACCAUUCAUUCAUAUUAUCAGUUGGAUAUGGAGUUAGCACAAGGGGAUAAUGGCAUUUGAAACGAAAAAUAUUUAAUCAUAGAGUAGCAGCAUUAUCAACAUGUUUGUACUACAGCAAGUCCUUAAUCCAUAUCGAGUAUUGUUUUUGUUUUCCUAAAAGAAACUUACAAAAUAUUCAUGAUACUAGUAGAAGUCCAUUGCAAGAAUAAGCAUUUCAGCGGGCCUCGUACUGAACAACUGCAGUAAUAGGCAAGAAUUGGAUUGGACUUCAAAUUUGGAAGAAGCAAAUAAAUAUCAAGGACACAGAAAGUAAUGCAAAUUGACCCAUAUAACAAAAAUAUUGAAAAAACUAAACUAAGAGAAUAGACUCCAAUAACAUCCAUAAAGAGAGAAUCUAAACUUAAUCUCAAGACUUAUAGUAAGAGAGCAUUCCAAGUCAUAUAAGAUUACAAGGAUACCCCAAGAAACAAAUUUUUCAGUCAAUUAUCGACUUAGGUCAAGUAUAAUAGAUUCUGCUGAAAUACAUCCUGUUGUGACAGUAUAUUACCCAAACUACAACCAUCCUGCCAAUUAACAGUUGGAUAUAUGUGCAAUCUAUAAACUUCAGAACAAACUAAGUCAAUAAAAUAGUUGUUUUAGAUUACCCAUUACUCAGAAUCUUCAAAUGAAUUACAAAGAAGGUAAAUAAGAUUUAACCAGGAAGAAAACAGCAUUGAGUAUGGAUGUUAUAGAGUGGAUCAAAUGAUUUUCAAACAGAAAAAAAUAAGUGAAAACGUAGCCGAUCAUUCAACUCGUGCAAAGUAGUGAAGUGGAUAUAGAGUUCUCGACACAAGAAGAUGAUUUUGAUAGAGUUAAAGUCAGUUUUGGUGAGCUCAAAAUCACUCCAAAACAAGUCUUUUAUAGUUCAAGAUCAAUUUACCUUUUGAUUUAAUUCUUUUAAAUGUGACUUUCAAACAGUCAAGUUGAUUUUGGUUGAGCAAAACAUGUUUUGGAGUGAUCUACGAAGAUGAUAAAGUGAUUACAACCAUUUUAAAACCUCCCAACCAUGCCUAUAUGCAAAACCAGCCAAAGCCGCCAGUCUCAGAGUUUGACCCGCAUGUGUGACACUUCUUCAAUAUCUACUCAUACCAAAUAGCUCAUCUAUGUUUCUUGUUCCAUAUAAGAUUUAUAAUCAAACAUAUGAAAAUCUAAGACAACUUAUUUGAUGAGAUUCAAAAUUCCAAUCAUCUUUAACAGAAUGUUCAAUUGACAGACGACAUAUUCAUGAACAAAAUAAUAAUAACAAUAAUAACCACCAAAAUCAGAAGAAGUAUAUCUUACUGCGACGGGUGCGCUUCUUGUAGAGAAUACGAUAACCACACUCCCGGCACUGUAUAACAUCACCCUGCUUCAGAGUGUUCUCCAUUCCACAAUCUACACAAAUUUUACAUCUCUCAAUUCCCAAACAUAGUCAUAUAUAUACGCGUAUAUUUAGAGCAAUUAUUCUAACCAAGAAACUUCUAAAUUCCCAGUCUUAAUAUAAUCAAAGUAACUAGAUACUUGUUAAAAGAUGCAUCCGAUAACAUAACUAAAGAACCUAAAUAAUCGGGAGAUAUUCAAUCCCGAAAUCCGUAAAAACACAACAAGUAUACCUCCACAGAUGUAGCUGACUGGCUCGGGUUGAGGAUCCAUGAGUCAAGCUUCAAAAAUCUUCCUGCAAACCAAUUAUUGCACACACAAGUAAGAAACAAGCAUCAACGGAACAAUGAGAAUAAAGAAAAAUGGGGGUGAGAAUGUGCCGACGACCGGCGACCGCGAUGGCGGAAGGAUAGGAGAGAAAAAACAAUCGGCGCGUACCUACCGCUGCAAGGACGAUACGAAUAAUGAUGGGUGAGGGAAAAAUCAAACAAAAAUAAAAGGGAGGAGAAGGUGUAGUAGGGUUUUUCCCUUCUUUUUUAUGUUAAAAUAACUUUUUGGUUCUUAUAUUAAUUUUAGUCAAAGGUGAGGAAGAGGAGACGAAGACGAAGACGAAGACGAAAGAGAAUGAGAGGAUGCGAGAUGAGAGAGACGGAGGGAAGGGGGCUCGUCGUUGGUUUAAAAAUAAAUCACAAACCCUAAACUAAACGUAUAUAUUCUUUUACUUAAUUUUCAUAAAUGUAACAAAAUAAAAAUUUAAAUAUUCCACUUUGUCAUAGCCUUUUUCUUUUCAUCUUGAUUGCAUAGUUAUUUAAAGAUAGUAUAAAUCUAAACGUAUCAAAUAUUUGAUAUUGAUAUGUUUAAAUUUGGGUAGAGAUUGUGUAAUAAUAGUUGGAAUCACAUAGUUCAAAAGGUAAUAUUUUUUUAAUAAAUGAAAGUAUAUAUUAAAUUUAGUUCGAUUUCAAUAGUGGUUUUCAAAAUAGAAACCGAACCGUUUAAAUUCAAUUUAAAACCUUUUGAUUUUGCACAUAAAUCGAUUCAAUUUUAACAAUAGACUCGGUUUCUAUCGUUCUUUUGCCCAUCCCUAAAAUAAUUUGUUCUAUGAAGUUGCAUAGUUUGCCAAAUUUUUAUAUUUGUAAGGAAAUCACUUUAAAAAAUACAAGGCAAAUGUCAAUUGACAUGAUUAAACUUGGGUUACCCCAAUUUAAACCAUAGAUUAAUAAUUAUAUUAAUUUAAAAUUUAAACUAUAUAUUUUAAUCGGUUUAUACUCUAAACUUCUAUAAAUGCACUCAUUUAAACCCUCAACUUUCAUACAUAUUUGACAAAAGUUCUAUAAAUCCUUGAUUAUAAUAUUUAGAAAAAUAUGGCACUAACUAUAAAGAUAUUUUCUCUUUUUUUACUAUAUAAUAUAGAACUAUUUUCAAAUAUAAUAAAAUAAAGCAAAUAUUUAUAAAAUAUCACAAUUUUAUGUAUAGUACAUUUGUCUAUAUAAAUUAUAGAUUACUAUGAAACUAUGAAAGGAAAAUUGCAUUAGUUAAUAAAAAAGUUUAGAAAAAACAGCUCAUAAUAUUUGUUUUUUGCACAUUACAAAUUUGAUAAAUAUGAUUAGUAAAUAUGGCAAUCAGACCACUUUUAAAUUUACUAUUUUUACAAUUUAGAAAAUGUAGAUAACAUGAACUUUUAUGGUUUGCUAUUUUUGCGAACUCCGCUCCUAAAAUGAAUAAACUAUUUACACAAAAUGUAACAGUGUAAAUAAUUUGUAUUUAAAAAAAAAAACACUUUGUAUGUGUAAAUAUUUUUUUUAUAGUUUGUCUACUUCCAUGUAUUAAGGGCAAAAUAACUAAUCAAUUAAUGUAUUAUUAUUUUGAAAUAAUCAAACUUAGUAUUAAUGUAUUUACUAAAUCGUUUCCCGGGUGACCCACUCCUUCCUUGUCCUCUUGCUUCUGCGCUAUUUUCCUCCCUUAACCUUUUCUAUACAUCAAAUUUGGAUCUAUCAACUUCAACAUGAAUUUUCUUUUAUCACAAAACAAGAAAAGAAAAUGUUGUUCAAAGUUGAUGAAGUUGCUUAGGAACUUUCUGCUUCCGCGUUAUUAUUUUAACUCCACUUGUUCCAUGAUCUUCUUCCAAUUUUCUCUUUCCAUAAAAUAGAAUUUCCUACUCACAAAUUCUCCCGUUUCUUUCGAUGGAAGUUACGAUUCAAAGGUAGAGUUGAUUCCAUAAAUUACAGAUUGAUUUCCAAUCUCUUUGUCCGGUUGAUCGUCCUUCCGUCGGAAGGCGAUUCCGGCCACUGUUCAGAAUUUCGUAGCUUUCGUUGUUCGAAGCCCUAUGAUGAAAUCUUUCGACAAAACGCCGGAUAGGAACUCGUCUUUUUCUGAACCUGUCAGCUCAAUCCACAGUCCUCUUUAUUCCGAUGGCUCUCCUUCUUCUUCCGGUAAUAAUCAUUCUUCUCUCGAUCUUGGCGCCGUUCUGUUCAUCUAAGAUUGAUGGGGUAGUCAUUUUUUGCAGGUAACAAUAAUUCAAAAUCAGGGCGUAAGAAACAAUUAAUCAGGAAACGAGGUGGAUUUGUAUUUCGGGUAUACGAGCAUGGUAAGGAUCGAUAGUUUUUGCUGUAGAAAUGUAUUGAACACUACCUGUUUGUGGAAAUGCCAUCUGAAAUUUAUCACAAUAUGAUAUGAUGGAAUGAGGGUAAUCUUGUGUUUGUGUGAAAUCUGUAGUUAAGUUGGGGCCUAAAUUCUUGGUAACUGCUAAAGGUAAAUUGAGAUUAGGGGCAAAAAUAAUACAACAAGGUGGCAGAAAGAACAUAUUCAAACAGGUUUUUGGAAUUGUAGAAGGAGAGCAGCUUUUGAAGGCCUCUCAAUGCUACUUAUCAACAAGUGCAGGGCCCAUUGCUGGGCUUCUUUUCAUAUCUACAGAGAAAGUUGCUUUCUGCAGUGAGCAAAGUAUCACUUUCUCUUCACCAACUGGUGAAUUGCUCAAAACACCUUAUAAGGUAAUCUCUUUGCACUUAAGCAUUCGACUCAGGGUCAGAAAGAUGUAAAACAUUUAUUCUGCUAGACACGUAGUAGAUUGCACACAAGUCAUGUUUGAUUGAUUUGAUUGAUUUGAUUUGACCAUAUAUAUAACAUAAAGUUCUGAUUUUCAGAAAAUGGAAGUCAAAGAUUUUAGGUGUAGAAUGGAAGAUACACACAUAGAUACUGACAAUUUUGGCUGGUCUUUUUAUAUAAAAGAUCACCAACUUUUCGUUGGGAGAAAGUGAUUGAACUAACUGAAAAGUGUCUAGGUGAAAGCUAUGAUGUAACUAUCCAUAUGUGCUUAGUUCUUAUCGAGAAUUUUGUUCAGGCUUGGGAUCUAGGACCAAGAUCGUAAUUUCGAACUAUCUAAUCUGUGAAAGUUUAAACACCAUGCGAUUCAAAACUUCCAUGAGAUGCAUAAUAUUACAAGCUAACCUUUUAAGAUAUAUAAUACUUCCAAAUUAAAGGGGUAUAUUAAGACCCCUGCUUUGCAGUUUGAUGACUUUCCCCCCUUACAUAAAGGUGUGUUUAAAUAAAGUUCUUUCUUGAGAAUAAUUUAAAACUCCACAAUCUUUCUUUGUAUUAAAAGCAAAAAGGAAAAAGAGUUUAACUUUCAAAAAGCUGAGAAGGAUCUCUCUAGCACUAAACUACUACUUUUCCCAACCUGUUAGGGCAUGUUUACUCUUGUUAGGCCCAAAGUCAAUAAAAAAAAUGCAUGACGAAAGUGACCUUAGUCAUUAAAAAAUACUUCCAAACAUGCAAUUCAUACCUGCUAAAGAUCAUACCCUUUGAAAAUGACAGUGGUGUGUGAUUUUCUACAGGUUUUGAUACCAUUAAAGAAGAUCAGAAAAGCCAAUCAAAGUGAGAAUGUCAAUGAUCCAGCAAAAAAGUACAUCGAAGUGGUGACAGAUGACAACUUUGAUUUCUGGUUUAUGGGAUUUUUGAGAUAUGAAAAGGCAUUUACAAAUCUUCAGAAGGCCAUUUCCAUGGCUAACAAUUCAAUGCAACAGUUCACAGAUAUAUCAUGAAACUAACCAAUUCUGGCCGAAGAAGGUGUUGCUUUUCCUUCCCAUUCAUAGGAGUGAGUGCUUUUUGAACUUAGGAAUUUGAUAGGUAUUUCACAUACUCACAUCUUGGAGUGUUUCUAAUGAAUGUAUUGCUCUAUAUUUUGUAUGUAUAUCUGAUGACUGUUGUUUAAGUUUAGUUUUCCCACAUCCCUGUGCAUCGAAGUGGGCUUGAUUGAAAUAUGUAAAAUAUCUUAUUUGCUCCUAAAUUGUAUUUUACUCGAACUCAUCAGGUACUUUUGUUAUUUUCUUUUGAUUUUUCAUCUUGUUCUCUCGUUAAUCUCUAGCAGAUUUAGCAUGAACCUCAAGACUCGAACUCUCCCAAUCUUAUCUUAUUUAUAUAAUAUAUAAAGGAAAAACCAAUAUGAUACCGAUCAAUAUAAUUUUUUAGUCUUCAAUAUAUACAUUUAUAACAUAAAUUUUAACUUCCAACAAUGGUUUGUUUUUUUAGCUAGUACCUAAAAUGUAUUAUUGAGUCUAUAUAUAUUUAUGUUAGAUCCACAAAUAGGUUGUAGAUUAAACUUUCAUAAUCAUUUAUGUAUUUAACUAAUCUUGAGUUUAACAAAGCUAUGUAUCCGUUCUUUCUAAUAUUCUUCCCACAUUUGUUGGGUCAUUUUGAAAUAUGCUCUCUUAAGGAUCUAAUGUCUCCGCUCGUAAAAUUAGAAAGGGUUAGACUUGCUUUUGUUUUCAAAACCACUAAAAAAAUGCUUUCAAUAAUUUGGAUUUAAAUAAGUAAUAUAAUUAUCUAAUGGUUUUCUCUAAUACUUUAUCAAAUGAAAUAAAAUAAGUUUUUUAUUUAAAAAUUAAAAUGUUUUAAAUGAUUAUCUUAAAACAAACAACUUUUAAAUAGGUGUAUAAGAAUUUCAACAUCAAAUCUCACAGCAUACAUAUAUACUAAUUAACAUGUUUACCAAACCGUAAUGAAAAGUUAUGCCAUCAUAAAAGAAUUUCAUUGUUAAAUCAAUUAAAUUGCUUUCAAUCUUUUUUUACUUAGAGUUAUAAAUAUGUCACAAUUAUUAUUAGUAUUAUCUUUACCACUUAACAUAAACGAGAGGAUUUAUCUAUUACCACUAGCUUUGUCAUUAAGAAUAACAAUAACGGUAACUAUAACGAUAAAAGUAAUGCUAACAACUUGUAGAUUCAAAUCGUAAUAGACCCCACAUCUCAUUACUUUAAACCAACUAUAAUUCAAACAAAGUCCAUUUUUCAAUUUAGCAUCCAUUUAUUACGUAUACCCAAUUUUUUUUUAGAUCUUGAGUAAACUCAUACUCAAUUAAUGCAAAUCGAACACAAAAAUUUUGAUUUCAUUUAUUUUUUCUUUAAAACAAAUGGCAAUAAUAAUAAGAUAAUUGCAUUAGAUGAGAAAUUUUUUUUAGAAAAAACAAUUUAUAACAUAUUUUAUAAUUAUUUUUAUUUUCCUAUUUUUACAAACUUGUUGUGAUUAGGAAAAGAAAGAUACUUUCAGUGAACGGGAACAACCGUUUAUAGAAAAACAAUCCAAUAGAGUAUUUUAUUCUUCUAAUAAUAAACAAGCAAUAACCAUAUCUUUUAUUUAAUUAAGAUAAAACACUUAUACAUGAAUUAAACACAAACUAUUUCACAAACUCAUUCACUUUAAUCUUUCAAUUAAACUUUCUUGAACAUAACAGGGAAUGGCGUAUCGCUCAAAGCCAAAGCCCUUUCUCCAUUCUUGAAGAAGAUUCCAAUAUCUCUACACAUAACUUUACAGAAAUUACAAACAGUCGGACAGAACACCAAUUUGUAAUCCUUACCAUGCUUCUCAAUUUUGAACCAGUUAUCCACCGUCUCCACUCCCGGAUUUCCCCUGCUUCCGCCGAUCGUCACCAACCAUUGUCCUGUCGAUUCAUCGAAUUUGUCCAAUUUCCACACCGUCGAUGUCACGCAGAUCGUACUCGCCUCGAAUUGUACAUUCAAAUCGGUUGAAACUCGGACCACUCCCUUUUUAGGGUUUACAGGAUGAAAUGUUGUUGGAAAUCCGUUCAUUACUUCGAGUUGUUCUUGAACGACGUUGAGUGGACAUUUCUCCGAUUGGAGGUUGCCUAGGGUUAGGCCGCCGCCUCUGCCGCGGAAAACGGGGAGGAUGUAGUAGUUGACGCCGGCUCGGAGCUUCUUGCCGUCGAUGUCGAGGACGGCCUCCGGCGAAGCGUCGGCUGUGGAGAAGCGAAUCAGCUGGGUUGAGGCAAGGAGAAUGAAAAGAAAAUAGAAUAAUAUUCCGAAAUUCUUCAUUUUAUUUAUUAACAAUGUGGACUUUCUUUUGUUGGGUUGCUUAAUUCGAUAGGGAAAGGUUUUGUAUUUAUAGCGUAGAGGAGAGCGAGAGUCGAAAUUGCUCACUAUUUUCUCUCCUUCUAUUAGAUCAAAUGCAUCAUUUUCCAACUUGCCGCCAUGACGUGGCAGUACGUUUGCAUGGGUUUCAUAUUAGAUUGUUGAAUAUUGAUGUCUUAAUAAUUAUUUAAUAUGGACUAAGACUUAUUUAGUUGAUAAUCCAAAUUUUAUUUCAUGUUUAGUGAGUUUUAGCAAAUUCAAUAGUAAAACCUUUUUUUAUUAUUAUGUUUUUAUUAUAUUUAGAUUUAAAGUAUCAAACUACAAAAUUUAUAAUUAUAUUAAAUAAAGAUUAAGAAAAAAUUAAAAGUAUAAUAUGUUAUCAAGUUAUAAACUCAAUUACUCCAAAAAAAAUUAAAAUAUACAUUAUAAAUUAUAUAGUAUUACAAAAUAAUUACCAUACAAAAAAUAAAUCAAUAAUGGUUUAUUCUCAAAUAAUAUUUAAUGGGUAACUAUAGCUACUUUUCCAAAUAAUUGUUUAACUUAUGAUUAAAAUUAAUCUUUUAUUAACAUAAAAUAAAACUUUGUUUUUAUUCAAUCUUUCGUUUAUUUUUACAAUUUUUUUCAUAAUCUAAAAAAAUAUGCUGAUUGGAAAAGAAAGAAAAAGUUUUUUUUGGUAAUAUAUUAUGAUCUAAAAUGUUGGGGUGUUACAUUAUGCUCAAAGUUGGUCACAUGCAACUCUAUUGAAUUCCAAAAUCGUUAUUAAAUUUUUUAAAAUUUCAAAAUCAAUUAAUUUUUCAAUUUUCCACAUUGAAUUAACUACAACAAAAGUAAUGAAUUGUUUUUCCAGUUCUUAAUAUAUCUAUGCCUAGAUAUAUACUAAGAAAAUAGUGAGAAAUAACUCAAAUUUUUAUCUUAUAAAAUUAGUAUUUUCUUUUUCAACUUAUAUGCUUGAUCAUUUUUGGUGCAUCUAGGUAGUGUACAUUUAUUCAAAUCUUCCCAAAUAUUAAAAGUGUAUAUAUAUUAAGCCUACUGUGUUAUAAGAUAAACAUGUGAGAUUGGAUAAAGUUUGUAAAGUCAAACUAUUAAACUUCAUGUGAUUGUAUUCAAUAUAUAAUAUCUCUUUGAAUAUUGAGAAUUGUUGACUGUGAUUCAAAGAGCCUUUUUUUAAAUUAUAUUUCUGUGAAUUUAAAAAUAAAUUAAAUACAAAUCUGUGAACCAAAGGCUUUUAAUUUUCCUUCUUCUCUACGUUUAUUGAAAUAAAUUAAAUUUCCGACGACUUCUUUUUCCCUUAUUUUUAAAAACCAUAUUAGUUUGAAAAAUGAGAUACAAUCUUAUAUUUAAUAGUUUAUCCAUUCUGAUGAGAUAGAUAACUUCACAAUUAUAUAUAUAUAUAUAAAAAGUUUUAUAUUUAAUAGUUUAUCCAAUAUUUUUAAGAUAGAAUACUUGACAAAUAGACCAAAAAAAAUUAAACCACUAACCAAACUAUAGACGACUAGAUAAAGAUUUUAGAGACUUCAAUUAGUUGGUCAAAUUGUACGUUUUUAUAGUCAUAUUGGUUUGAACAUUUACUAAAUCGAUCAUAAUCGAUUAUUGCGAUGGUUUGAUUCAAAAUUCAUUACCGAUGUUUGAAUUUAAGAGUAAAAUUGUACAUUUUAUAAUUGUUUUAAGUCUAUAUGAGAAUUUGUAAUAUAAUGCUUGGUCAUAUAUUCUUCCUUUGAAAAAAAAUAAUUGAGUGAAUUUAAAGAAACUGCAUAGAACAAGGUUUAUUAUAACCAAAUAUUUUCAUUUGCUAACUUAAAAAAUUAGCAAAACUUCUCACAAUUAUUCUGACUCUAACUAAUAUUAAUUAAAGAGAAAAUGAAAUCUAUAGAUAAUGAUUAUUAUAAAUUUUUUUAAUAUAAUUUGACGCAUGAAAACGUAAGUAGUAGAGUAAAUGACAUAAUAUAGGUUAAUUCUAUGAGUUUUUUUCUAAAUGUUUUUGUCUUUUCAUGCAAUUUUUCUUUCAUCAAAUACCAAAAGCAAAAGUGUUAGAUUCCACUUUUUUUUCGCUUUUUAGAUGUACUCGAGUGAGAGUUACAAAUACACCUCAAACUUUCAAUAGUAAUAUAAAAGAAUUUUGAACUUUUAAAAAUGUUAAUAUUGGAUCAUCGUCAUACUUAUAAAUAAUUGUAAAAGUUGGACUCACAAAUAAUAAAAAUUGAAUUCAAAAUCGUACAUAAUCAACACCGCAUCCAAUUUUGUUGAUAUAAUUACAAUUAUUACCAUACUUCAAUAAUGUUUUUUUGCAAUUUGCCUAUUAUUAGGUCCAUGUCUAGUAUCCAAUUGUUAUAUAUAUAUAUAUAAAGCAUACAUAAUAUAACUAGAGAUAUAUAUUUUAUUUAUUUCACGAAAUUAAGUCGUGAUUUAUUAUUACAAUAGAAAUUGAGAAUUGGAUGAAAUUUAUCACACCCAAAACCCAACCUCUUGACAUCUUUCACAUUCAUCAAUCAUAAACUUUCUUGAACAUAACCGGAAAUGGCGUAUCGCUCAAAACAAGACCUUUUAUUCCAUUGUUCUCAAAUAUACCAAUAUCUUUGCACAUUACUUUGCAAUUCUUACACACCACUCUUGGACAAUACACCAACUUAGUAACCUUCCCAUAUUGCUCUAUUUUGAACCAGUUUUCCGUAGUCUCUCACCCCGGAUUCUCUUUCGUUCCGCCAAUUGUUACGAAAUAUUGCCUCAAAUAUUGAUCAAAUGUUCCUAAUCUCCACACCGUCGAUUUCACACACCUUGUAGUCGCAUCAAACUCGAUGUUCAAAUCGGUGGAGACUCAAACCACACCCUUUUUAAGGUUUAUUGGUAAAAAUGUAGUGGAAAAACCAUCGGGUUGUUCGUAACACUCCUAGACGACGUUGACACCACAUCUAUCGUAUUCUUUUCGGAUAUUCCCGAUGGCGAAACUUCCACCACCAACACUGCCUUGAAUUGCUGGGAGGAUGUAGUAUUUGUUGCUGAUUCUGAGCUUCUUUCCAUCGGUGUCGAGGACGGGAUCUGGUGACGCAUCAGCUCCGCAGAAGCGUACCUCAGAUGAGGCAAUGACAAUGGCAAUGAAAAGACAAGUGAGUAAUGCAAAAUGCAUAUUUGAUACAUUAAUGUUUUUGACACAAAACAAGUUUUUGACUGAGGGCCAAUAAAAUUUCAAUUAAUUUGCGAUCAAAACAUUUUUGAGUCAAUCAUGUUCGUCAGAUUCCUUAUUAGAGAUAAAUUUUUAAAAGAGAAAAAAAGAAAAGUCAAGCUUUGUUUUUAGAGUACAAAUUAAAAAUCAAAGAUUUGAAAUAAAAGUAUAUAUAUAUAGACGUGAGUUAAACUGAUGUUAAAAUAUAUCAAACUUUUCAAUUUUUGUGCAGCAUAAUUAUAUUAAUAUAUAUGGAUUUUUAUGUAUUAACCCUUUUUAAAGUUUAGGUUCAUUUAAAAUAACUUUUUUCUUAAAAAAAAAGUCGAAGGUCCAAUGUGUUCUGGAAAUUAAAAAUUGUAAAAGUGAAUACUUUAAAAUAAAAAUAAAAUAUUUUUCCUUAUUUCAAAAUAUUUUAGAGACAAACUAAUUGCCUUCAUGUGAUUGCAUUUACUACUCUUUUAGCUUUGCACAUGAUGUAUGUACUUGACUUUUCUUUUUCUCUUUAUUAUAUAUAUAUAUAUAUAUAUAUAUAUAUAUAUAUAUAUAUAUAUAUAUUAAAAAUAAUUAUAAUUGACGGUAAUAUAAUAAAGCAUAUAGUAACAUUUUAAAAAAAAUUGAAAAUAUAACAAAAUCUAUCUGCUAUAAAUUUCUAUUAUCGAUAGACUUUAUCGGUGAUCUAUUAGUCAAGACAAAUUAUUUUAUAUUUACAAAUUUUUUAAAAUGUUGUUAUUUAUUUAGUUAUUUUGAAUCUAAUUCUUUUAUUUGCAAUAAUUUUUGCAGGUUUUAAAUAAGUUAUAUUUUCAUCCAAGAUAAAUUAACAAAAACUCAACUGAUUGAUUAAGAUAUUAUACAAGGUUUUUUUAAAAAAUAAUAAAAAGAUAAAUAUUUACACUCUAUCGAACAAAAAAAAUACUAAAAAGACCAAAAAAAAUCGUUACUCUUGAUUUUUUUAUGAAGUCUAAACAUUUUGUCAAUUUUAGACAUUGGUGGGAUUCUAACGGUGUCCAUCAUAGUAACAUCGUAAGACGUUGAUAAAUCUAAAAUUUUGUUAUAUUUUGUAAAUAUUUUCAACACUUUUGUCAUUUACAAUAAUUCUCUAUUCUUAAUAAAGCUAUAAAUAGUCUUACAUUCUUUAAACAAGGAUAGUGUUAUUUUAAAUUAAGGUUUAAAAUGUUGAUGUCGAAGAAAAUAUCGAGAUCUUAAUUUUAUGAAAAAACUAUAAAUUUAUUGUAAAAAUAUCCAUUACAAUGGAUAGUAUGAAAAUUUAUUAAAAUAAUCCAAUAAACAAUCAAUUUAAAUUAGCCAGAUAAAUAUUUAAGGAUUUCUUAAUAAUAUAUAACUACUAUUUAUAUUAGUGCUAAUUUGAUUAUUAUUUUAUAUUUUUCUACAAUACAAUGACAACAUCAAUUUUUUAUAUAUAUAUUAGUGUGGAAUUCAUAUCAACAUUUUACUGUAUUUUUGUAAAUAACAAAGAUUCAAUUUUUACUAUUUAUAACAAAUUUUCAAUAAAAUAACGAAACUUUUAUUGCAAUAAAGAUGAUUACAACAAUUUAUUUAUUAUUACAUUGGAUAUAGAGAGAGAAAAUUUAGUCAUUAAUUUCCCUCUCAUCAUGACCAUCACUAUCAGCUUCAAAUUCAAACUUUCUUGAACAUAACAGGGAAUGGAGCAUCAUUCAAAGCAAUAACCCUCCUUCCAUUCUUGUAAAAUAAUCCCACAUCUUUGCACACUACUUUGCAAUACUUACAAACUGUUGGACAAUACACCAACUUAUAAUUCUUACCAUACUUCUCCACUUUGAACCAAUUUUCUAUUGUUUCCCGCCCCGGAUUCCCUUUCAUUCCCCCCAUCGUCACAAAAUACUGCUUCAAGUAUUCAUCAAACUUACCUACUUUCCAUACCGUCGAUAUUCCGCACCUCGUGUUCGCCUCGAAUUGGAUGUUCAAAUCUGUAGAAACUCGGACCACACCCUUUUUAGGGUUUAUGGGGGAAAACGUCGCCGGUAGACCGUGUAAAUAAUCGUAUGAUUCCGGGAGGAUGUUGAUGGGACAUUUUUCGUAUCCGUAGAUACCGCCGAUGCUUAAUCCACCACUGUUUCUGCUGUAAACUGAAAGAAUAUAAUAUUGAUCACCGGCUCGAAGCUUCUUUCCGUCGGUGUCGAGGACCGCAUCGGGGGAGGCAUCCGCUCUGCAGAAGCGUACCUCAGAUGAGGCAAUGACAAUGAAAAGAAAACACAGUAAUGCAAAGUUUCUCAUUUCUUUUGGUGAUUUUGUUUCUUAUGUAGAUGAUGAUAUUGGAAUUGAAAAAGAAGUCUAUUUAUAGGAAAUUAUAGAGAAAGAGAGAUUGAAAUUGCUCACUGUAUUGUUUCUCAUUGUAUUGCUUUCCCGGCGGGCGCCA
rnacentral:lncRNA from 1 species